GGAACCAUUGAAGGUUCUUGAGCAGAGGAGGAACCAAGUCAGAGCUGAAGGUUAGCUGAAGAUGACUUUAGGAGCUAUGUGAACACUUACUGCCUACAGAGCCUGUGUGAUAUUGUGAUUUAUAAUAAGGAAUAUAUACACAGUCUUAUGGUUCCUGGCACAGAGCUCCUAAGAACCUUGGAAUUUCCUAAGUGAUGAGAGCCAUAAAGGUGUCUUUGUUGUGUCAAUGAGGUGACUUUUGAACAACCGGUGGAACCAACCAUGCGAUUAGAGAACUUUCAGUCUCAUCCUCAACCUCCUGGGAGAAGAGAGGAGCUGGAGCUCAAGCACCAACGGCCAGUGAUUUAAUCAAUCACAACUAGGCAGGACUGAUCUCCUCCUCACCCUUUAGCCAAAGACAUCAAAAGAGGAGGCUCCAAGGUCUUUGCUGCUGCCUCAAAAUUGCAGGAUGUCAUCAUCAAACCUGGCUGUGGGAGAGUCAGAACCUGAGGCUCAGAGAGGCCAAGCAACUGACCCUGAGACACACAGCAAACCAGCCAAGGAAAGUGAGAGAAGAAAUCAGUCUCUAGGCUGCACUCUGGACAAAGACAAAUUCAUCAAAGGCCAAGGAUUCCUGGGGGCAGAGGCCCACCACCCACAUUUUCUCUGCUUCCUCUGUCCUCAGUCUGCAGGCACAAGUUGGAGUUGGUUUCCAUGACCUAGGUCUCUGCAUCUGCUUCCAAUUGAGAUGGUAACACAGAGAUUUCAAGAGAAAUCUGCAACCUCAGACACUGGAUGAGAAACUAGAGGGCCAGACCUCUUCAGCUUUUUCAAUACAUAGUCGGGGAGUUUAGAAACACACUGAUGGCUUGGAAUGGCCCAAGACAGACAAGGGGGAAAGAACCUUCCAGGACAAGGGCAAGGAGCAGCAGGAGCUAAAACAAGAAGCCAUUAAGUAGCUGGCUGGGCUCAGGAAACUGCAGGUGUGUCAUAUAACUGAUGUGUUCAACACUGGGUCCCAGACCUAAACACAUCCUGGACUACACUGUGUC